AUUGAACGCUGGCGGCAGGCCUAACACAUGCAAGUCGAGCGGAUGAAGGUAGCUUGCUACCUGAUUCAGCGGCGGACGGGUGAGUAAUGCCUAGGAAUCUGCCUGGUAGUGGGGGACAAGGUGUCGAAAGGAACGCUAAUACCGCAUACGUCCUAGGGGAGAAAGUGGGGGAUCUUCGGCCCCCACGCUAGUAGAGGAGCCUAGGUUCGAUUAGCUAGUUGGUGAGGUAAAGGCUCACCAAGGCGACGCUCGUUAACUGGUCUGAGGGGAUGAUCAGUCGCACUAGAACUGAGACACGGUACAGACUCCUACGGGAGGCAGCAGUGGAGAAUAUUGGACAAUGGGCGAAAGCCUGAUCCAGCCAUGCCGCGUGUGUGAAGAAGGUCUUCGGAUUGUAAAGCACUUUAAGUUGUGAGGAAGGGCAGUAAGUUAAUACCUUGCUGUUUUGACGUUACCGACAGAAUAGGCACCGGCUAACUUCGUGCCAGCCGCCGCUGUAAAAC
rnacentral:rRNA from 1 species